UUCUCAGCUGUUGUCGCAGGCGUGAUAAUGUCUUGCAGUAAAGCUGUCGCACCUACCUGUCAUAACUAAAUAAGCGUCUUCCACAACAGAGGCAGAACAGGGCACGCUCCAUUUGUUUAGGCCGCUGCGAAGAUGUUUUCUUCAUGAACAUGUUGUUUGCUCGAAGAAGCCAUGGCUCCUCCCUGACACGCUGUACACUUUAAGCCCGGGAUGUGUGACCGGGCCAUGUUGAUGGUUCAUUACUCAACAUGAAUUCAGCAGUGCACGAAAUGAAGUGAAGGGGUCACGAGAAGCCUUGAGACUUUCCCAGGAGACAAGGCGGGGAACACCCUCGAUGGGGUACCAACUCACUCUAGACCGCAAUCACACCCAAACCAUGACCCCAUAACUCGCAUCUUCGAACUAGACGAGGAACCUGGAGUAUUCGAACCCCUAACCCUCUUAUGUGAUAGUGUCUUCUUAAAAACUUAAGAUGUUUUGAGAUGAUUUUUUAAAUAGAGUUAAAAGUUCGAAAAUCAUAUUUAAACAAAAAUUGAUAUUAUAAAUACAAUCUAGAUUAAAAUCUAAUUUUAAUUAACUGAGAGAAAUUCCCAGAUAAUUGCUACAUGGCAUUAAUAUUCUAUUCAAAUGUUUCUCUUUAUCAAGGCCAUGGCAUAAUGUUUUAAGCUGCACUAACUAAGUGAAGUUCAAGGAUAAACUCAUAACAGUUUUUAUAUACUUUCUGUCCUCCUGUUUACUCUGUUGCUAAAUACUUCUACCUCUAUAGGUAUGAGUCAAUGCAAUUAAAGUGAAAACAAACAAACAAAAAGCAAAUGGACGAGACACUACAUGCGUUUUCAGACCAAAUUAUUUUGACUGCCAAACUGAUUAUUAUGUCUGCCAUUAGGAGUGCGCCUCAUGCCCCUGCUUUCCUACAUGUUUAUGUUAACUCUGGGCAUAAUAAAGUAGAAGUAAAGCCAUUUUCCAGGUUACUGGGCAGACAACUGUUUCUCCAGACAUUAACUAAAUUGAUCAAGCAGAAGAUUAAAUGCAAAUUCAUUAGAUGAAAAAUGUUACAUAAUGCCUUACGUAAAUGCAGUAGAAAAAAAAGCAAUUUUUUUUCCCUCCAGAUUUGAUCCUCUGAAACUCCUCUUCCUUUUUUCCUGGAAGAAAAACAGAAUGUGGCCUGUGGUUCAGACCAACUUGACCGUGUGAGGCUCCUCGGUGUGCAGAAAUACACAGGAUCAAAUGGCAAUCUGUCGAAAUAACAAGGUCUCGGGUUUUUAAAUUUGUACAUUUUCAAUGGGGAAGGUUGGAGGCAAGAUUAUAAGCUAUUUUUGUAUGAAUAUCUCCAAAUUUUGUCAGAUUAAACUGCUUUGUGUGAGCCAUAAAUCAUAUACAGUCUUUUAGAUACGCUGGGAAGACUGCGUGCUGUUGCUUUAGCAUUCUUGAUGUCUCUCUUACGCCACACACUAACUCCUUCUAAUGCAACGACGCAAAAACAAUGAGAAUUGUACAGCAGGUUUUAAAAUGAUCAAUAAAGUCAAUUUCAACAACAUGCAUCAAAAGCUUAGCAGAAAUCCAGAUCUUGAGAAAGCCAAAAUGCGCAUAGAAAUGUCCUUGAGGGAGCACAAGGAUCAAUCCUUGACUCAGAGGAGGAACCCUGACAUCACAUAAAAUUCAUAGGAAUACUAAUAAGCGAGUGAUUUUGUUGAAUUUUGUUGAAAAGAAGUCAUUACAAGAGCUAAAGCCCGGUCUUUACCCCAGCCAUCUCCUGCAUUCACACUAGCAUGAAUAACUGAUGUCGCUUGAAGUGGCCAUGUGAUGAGCAUUUCAUGUUUCAUAUAUAUGUUGCUUAUCUGGCUUUUGUCUUUUUUUAGUUGCAAUUAAAUACAAGUGAGAACUGAAGUAGUGAAGGUAAGGGACAUCGGACAAGCCUCACCAAAGGAUUGGUCUGAGUAGUGAAUCAUUUGUAUUUGCUGCUUUAUAACUAAUUUGCACAGAUCUCCACUGAUCUUUCGUGGAAUCUUUAGUAAUUCCCACCCAUUAGAUUAGCUAGCUUUCCCCCAUAUCACACAACAGCUACUAAGUACAAAGGAGUGGAAGCUAGAACAUGGUUUCUCGAAGACCAUUAAGCUAGCCAUGACUGGCUGAUUAAUAGGGGAGAGAGUAACAUGAACAUGGCCAAUAUUUGUUCUGUGGAAUCCUGGCAAUGGAUGGCUGUGGCAUCGCUGGGAUACAAACCUGUGAUCUCCUGGUUAUAGAGCAAACUCUGUUGAAAGUUUGGAAGGAUUAGUCUUGCAGUCCUGAUUUCCUUUCCAGUUAAUAGGUUGUUUUUGUUAGCCAUGGUGGACAAGAGCUGCCUUCUUUAACAAGGAGAGCUCUUAGAUGAAGAAUUUGUCACAGCACAGUGAAAUUCUUUUCUUGGCAUAUCCCAGCUCGUUAGGAAGCUGGAGUCAGAUCACAGGGUCAGACAUGAUUCAAGGAGCAGAAAGGGUUCAGAGCCUUGCUCAAGGGCCAAAGAGUGGCACCAAAGCAGUGCUGGGGCUUGAACCCCCAAUCUUCCAAUCAACAACCAUUUAAGCCAACUGCUCAAGUCAAGCGGCUCUUUUCACUGACAGUACAACUACAAGUUUUUACUAUUUAUUAUUUAUUGAUAGGGAUUGGUCCGGUGGAAAAUUGGGUAGUGUUGACCCCUUAGAGCGCCAGGGUCCCAGUUCAAAGUUGAUCUUGGUUUGGUGUCUAUGUCAAAUUUGCAUGCUCUUUCUGUUUCUGCACUGGUUUCCUGUGGGUUCAGUUUUAUUUCAUCUACCAUAAACAUUUCAGUAGGUGGAGUUUGGUGAAUUGCCCCAUGUGUGUAGCGCCUGAUGAUGGACUGGCAUUCAGUUUGUGCUGUUUUUCCACCUCACACCCAGUGAUCCGGGGAUAGGCUCCGGAUCCACUGAUUCAGACCAAGACACGAUAUUUGUAACCAUCUGAAAACUGCUAGAUUUCAAAGCACCUGAGGACAAGUCUAGUAUGCUGCACACCUCACAAAUGAUUUUUACAGUCCAGUGACUAUAUCAUGCUCUAGAAAGCUCCUUGACAUCAAGUUUGUUUCCCUGUUUCCUGGCGCAUGGAGCUGUCAUGACAUCCAAUGAAGCUGUAACUGACAAGAUUGUGAUAAGGGUGGAUUAGCAAGAUGAGAGCUGCCAAGUCGAAUCAACUUCCUGGGAUGCAUCAUGCCGGUUUGGAGAGAGGGAUUAGGGACUCUCUUGCCCUUUAUGUUUCUCAGCGUAAACCCGGGCCCUAUUCAGUUCAAUUUUGACUGACGACCAAAGAAUUCUUUUCCUAUAUGUGAUAUUUUGUGUCUUUACCACCUUAAAAACACCACUGUUCAUCACUCAAAUGCAGAUCCAGAGACUUUUAGAAUCAAUGCCAAGCUGUAUUAGUGGCCCAAUACCUUACUAAGACACUCUAUGUUGUCUUUUCCAUUAAUUUGCCAGUAAUUAAUUGGUACAUUUAAAUUGCACCAGUGAAUUGAUCCCAUUCAUAAUGCAGUUUCUAUCGAAUUGGAAUUUAUGACUCCCGCUGCAGUAGAGGGAAUAGAAGCCUGCAAACAGGGCUUUGUUUACAUUAGGCUCAUCAGUUUAAUUUUCACCUUUAUAUUCCAAUCAGUGCUCAGCUCAAAUAACCGCUCUGUACGGAAUAAACAUCGUCCCCUGCUGAAACAGUCGGAGCCUCUCUAAAUCUCAGGAGCACAGUCAAACAUCCAUAACAAGUAAAGAAACAUACUGCGUAGGCUCUGCUGUGGCUUAGCGGAGGUGUGUGUGGGUGUAAGUGAGCCAGGAGAGAGGAAAGGAGCUGUACACAUGCACACUGGAGAAAACAUGCUUACUUUUUCAGCAAGUGCUAAUCAGAAUCAGGUAGAAGAGAAAUGAGUGUAGUGGUCUCUUUCCCACUGUGUGGGUUCAGUUUUGCAAGGUUGCUAGGUCUGUGUGACCAAACUAGACUGGGGAGAAAACAAAAUCUGCUCCUCCGAAGCACUAAAUUUACAACCACUGCUGCCAAAUAUACUGGAAAAUCCCUAAAGUAACACUUUAUAAUGGCUUUUUAAACAACACAGUGUUUUUAAUACAAUUUUUUUUUCUUCUUUAAAUAUGGCUUAAAACCUCUCAUAUUAAUACAUGUUAACAAAUUUACUGAUAGAGAACAAGCUCCUUUAGGCAGUUAUUCAAUAUGCAUGUUAUUUUUAACAUGCCAUUUCACCAGCUGUUUACUUGCUUGAAUGUAUUUAUUAAAAAAAUGUAGCUUAUAAAUUUGUCAUUAAACCCAAUCAAAAUUAAUCCUAACCCUAACCCUAAAAAUAAACUUUUUAAUUUUUUAACAUUUUUCUUUAUAAAAUUUUUUAAAUAAUUUUAGUCAUUUUCACACACACACACACACACACACACACUUUAUCAGCCCUGUGUGUAUCACUGUGUUCUUGUUCUUGACCACCAGUUCAUUCACAGUGUCUUGCUUUCAUAAAAAAAACCCCAAAAAACAUGCCAUCAGUCUUUUAAAGAGACACUAAUCAUGCUGUUAUUUGUCAUCUGUUUCCCGUUGAUUAAAGCUUGUUUUGAAGAAAUUUAAACAUCCUUCUUUAAUCAGUUCACAGCAAUCUAGAGGGAGACUUUGUGCACGAAGAAGACUUAAAAUGUGGAACAUUUUGCUGUAGGAUAAAGCAGCAAAUACUUUCACAUGAUCUCACGAGAAGCAGCCCUGUAUCAUGAUGCUCCCACCACCACGCUUCACUGUAGGAAUGCUCAUAAGUCAAACCCUUAUUUCUAUAAAUAUGACAAGACAAAUUAUUGUGAAAGAGUAUUUUUUUGUUGUCUUGUUUUGUCUGACCAGAGAAUAUUGUUGGUAAACAAUCUGCUCUGGGGAUGUUGUAGCUUAGUGGUGUUGGACAUCUGAUCAGAAGGUUGUGAGUUCCCAGGUCCACCAAGCUGCCAUUGCUGGGCUCCUGAGCAUGGCCCUUAACCCUCAAUUACUCAGUUGUACAAAAUGAGAUAAAUUGUAAGUCGCUUUGAAUAAGGACAUCUGCCAAAUGCCAGAAAUGUAAAUGUUCUGAUCGCUUCUUCUUCGAAAAGAAAAGAAGAUGAUUGCAGUGCAGUUCACUGCUUAAUGUUGUUCCUGCUGCUUUCAGGUCAUCCUGCAACUUAUGUCAAGUGACUGCUGGCUUCUGUAUUCACUUUUCCUUUCCUUAUCAUUAGUCUAAGAGAGUGCUGUGAAAUCUUGCAAUGAUUGAUUUAUCUGAACAUAACGUAACUGGUUCUAUCAACUUUUUACCUGUUGUACUGCAGUAGAUGAAGGUCAGGUCUUUGCUUUGGCUCUGUAGUUUUUUCCACUCAACUUCAAGUGCUGAAUAAUAUUGUCUCUGAGCAUUUCUUAAGCUCCUUAACCUUUACCAUAAUUGCUGCUUGUGCAAAAUCUUUUCAAUAAGUAAGUGGUAACAGCUUUUAUAUUGACUAGGUGCAAUUUGCAUAAAAAAUAUCUUAAUCUGAUUUAAGACUGUUCAAAUGAGAAAUCUCUAUGAUCCUAGAAAACAAGCAAAGAAAUACACAAAAUCACUGUAUGCGAUGUUCAAGAGCCGGUCUCUUGCUGUCAGAUGUAGCAUUCGGUCAUAAAAUGUGCAUCUAAACGAUCGUAAAAACACCUUGCUCGUUUGUUCCAUGGUUAACGAGAAGUUUAAGGUGUAAAAGCGGCAGACUUGAUCGAGCAUGGAAGCAAAUCAGCACUUUUCCAGCUUGUGGUUUCCGGUUGCAGAUUUCACAUCACGUAAAUAAUGACCUUGUAUGGUGUAAAAUAUCUGCUUUAGUUUGAACCGGUGAUACAUUCGACAGUUCAGGAUGACGACAGGAUUUAGGUUGUGCGAAAGACUUCCUAGUGAAGGAUUUCUAGAGUUUCGAACGUCAUGGAUAAAUCGAGAGGGAUAGAUUAGCGUUGAAAAAGCCCACUGCUGGUGAUAAAGCUUAAUAUUCAUCUGCACUCAAGUUUCAAAUCACUGAAGAGUUCUCAACAUGUAAGCACAACAUUAAUCGUCUGCAAUUGCAGCUAAUGCAAUACUCUCUUGUUUCGUCGCAAUUUCCCAAGCAGCCUUUGCUAGACAGUUAUAUGUUGCAUUACAAAGUUACAGAGCCUUGCAUAAGUAUUCACCCCCUUAUUUUUACACAUAAUAUUGAAGUGGAGGGAAAAAUCCACAUACAGUACUUCACUAUUUGUUGCUAUCUGAAGUCACAUAAUCGGAUGAAUACAUAAUAACUUGAAACAGAUGAAUAAACCCUAAAGGAAAUGAUUAUGAGCUCAACUCAAUAUAAAAUAUAACAGUAUAAACAGAAAGUUGCAUCAUCUAAAUUUUCUAAAGAUCACACGAAGACGUCUCAUUGUUUUUUUCCCCCUUUUAUUAUCUUUAUAUUUAAUGACACUGAGAUAUGAACCGUGAAGGGUCAACACUUAAACCCAAAUUAUAAAAUUAAAGGCAAGUAAUUAAUAAAAAAAAAUGAAAAGUAAACAAGUUUUAAUGUCCUCAUGCUGUUAACUUGGAUGCUAGCUAAGUAUAUUUUGUCUGUUUGCUAAUUCUAUGCUAAA